GAUGAAGAACGCAGCGAAAUGCGAUACGUAAUGUGAAUUCCAGAAUUCAGUGAAUCAUCGAAUCUUUGAACGCAUAUUGCGCUCUCUGGUAUUCCGGAGAGCAUGCUUGUUUGAGUAUCAGUAAACACCUCAACUCCCUUUUCUUUUUUGAAAUUGGAGCUGGACUUGAGUGAUCCCAACGCUUUCUUCCAAGAAAGUGGCGGGUUGCUUGAAAUGCAGGUGCAGCUGAACUUUUCUCUGAGCUAUAAGCAUAUCUAUUUAGUCUGCCUAAAAAACAGAUUAUUACCUUUGCUGCAGCUAACAUAAAGGAGACUAGUUCUUGUGCUGACUGAUGCAGGAUUCACAGAGACAGCUUCGGCUGACUUUGUAAACUCGAUCUCAAAUCAAGUAAGACUACCCGCUGAACUUAAGCAUAUCAAUGCGGAGGA
rnacentral:misc_RNA from 1 species